GAGUGGCCAGGCAAAGGUUUACUUGUUAAUGUGUUUACACCUGACAGAGGACAGAAAUAGCCUGAGACUGAGGCAUUACGUUAGUAUUUUGGGGUACCAAUCAAGGCACCCCAAGGCUUUAGGAAAGCUGUUCUGCUAUGCUGUGCUGGUCCAGGCAGCUGAUGACACUCUCUGGUCAAACCUUACCCACAAGUUAGAGCUGCAGUCAGAAGUGGGAAAGCCAGGGAGCUGGGACUGGAAGAUGGAAUGUGGCCUGGGCCUAGGAGAUCUUGAGGCCACUCCAGUCUGUGGCUGUGAAGCAAGUUAAUGUUUCACCCUACACCCCUCCCCCACAGACAGGCCAGGAGACCUCUCACCACCUACUCCAGUGGUCAUCAGAGCGUGACCUGCUGUGGGUGGAGGUCACUUCAAUCUGCUGUCAAACAUCAUAGCAACGAGGGAGACACCCUCACCUGUACUGAAGAGUGGGUCCUGUCUCACCCUAAAGUCGGCUGUCUGAAGGGUUACCAGACUGGAGCCUGAGCCACUGAGGGAGUGGUGGAGAGCAGGGUGUGCAGAGAGGAGCUGAGGCAGCCAGCUCCUUCCUCCCCGUGACCUCUGCACAGCCCACUUGGUACCUCCUGCCCCAAGGUUUUGAAGAUUGCUGGAAAACUCAGAUCCUUCCAGCAGUCAGAAGACCCCUCUUCACUUCACGGCCAGUCAGCCUGUUGGAGUGCAUCAGCCGGCGCGUGCUGAAGCGUCGCCAGGCCUCCUGGAUGGCCUUGGCUGCUGUCAUCUGGGAGAUGAGUUUCUGCCGCAGCCGGUAGCCCUUCCAGCUGGCUUGGAUGACAGUGGCUGCCCGUGACACCAUCAUGUCCAUCUCAUCUACCAGGAUGUUCCUGAAGGCCUGGCUCUCCACCACUGCCCGCAGGCGAGGCACUUCUUGUGAUGGUAACACUGCUAGCUCCUCGGAUGGAUAGAAGUCAUGCUGGAGCUGAGGACAUAGCUUGGCCACUUUCUCUUGGUGAAUGGGGGUAGGCUGAGGGAGGCUUGGCCCGCUAGGUGACAUGAGGUUCUGGAACUGGAGCUGAGCUGCCGGCUGCAUUGCUGCCAUUCCUGAGCCAGGCAGAAAAGUCUGGGUGGGGGGAGGGGGCGAAGGAUGAGGUUUGGUAGGUAGGGAGGAUGGACAGAUGGGGGGUUGCAUAGAUGGGUGGAGAUGGGUAAGGAGACAGUGGGUUCUUGAAUGGUUAGAUAUACGUGGAGGGGUGGGAGAAGGGUUGGUGAGGGGCAGAGAGGUGGUGAGUGUUGAUGGGUGAGUACCAGGUGGGUGGCGGUGCACACACUGUGACCAGAUGCGUCACUGUGCAGUGAAGAGUGGAGAGCACACAACCUAAGGGUUUCUGCUGGACAGCAGGUACAGAGAACAGGGACACCACCACCCAGCAGCCCUCAGACCUGUAACCUGGGCAUGACGUAUGUGCAUGGCAGAGGCACUCAAGGCAGGUCCAGCCAUCUCCUUACCUUGGAGGGUCAUAGAGUUGGCAAAGGAGCAGAAGAAGAUGUAAUCUUGGAAGCCAGCCUGUACGGGGAGGCUGUCUUCAGUUCUUCAUUCCAAGAAAUGUACACAGCAGUGCUCUGGGCUGGUUCUGUUAGAAAUACCAACAGGAGUGGGUGGGGCUGUGGACUAGGCCGAGGGAGGACAGAGCUGGGAGGGAGGGCACAGGGAGAAUGAAGCAGGGAGGACAGAGGGAGAGGAUGAAGCAGGGAGGAUUGUGAGGGUCAGGACAGGGGGAGGAUGGAGGGGGCAGGACAGAUGACAUCCCACAAGAAGAGCCUGGGGAGAGUUCAGUGUUGCUUGGCAAUUAGCACUUAACGUGCGUGUAACAGGGACUAAGAGGUCCCAAGGACACAUGAGACUGGAGAGCAGAGGAUGUCUAUGUCACUACUAUCUAGAAGGGUAAGACCCAGAAGCACACAUCCAGGACACUCCCACUCAACACACUAUCAAGCAAGAAGUAGGGAGUGCAAGAAGACUCAGUGUGAGGAGUGUCUGGGUCCAAGGCUGACAGCACAAGUUCUCCCCUGAACCCAGCCAAUGGGAGCAGAGAACCAGUUGCUGCCAUUACCUUCUGCCUCUGUGUGGAUAUCUAGUGCACUCACCUUCUAUACACAAGCUAAUAUGUGGCAAUCAAAAAAAGUGAGGCCAGGGCUAGAGUGGCUCCGUGGUUAACAGCACUUGUAGCCCUUGCAGAGGACCGGGGUUCUGUUCCCAGCACCCACACCAUUCACAACUGUCCCUAACUCCAGUCUCAGCAGAUCUCAUACCCUAUCUGGCUUCAACAGGCACACAUAUGGUGCACAGACACACACUCAGGUAAAGUACCCAUACAUAUAACAA